GAUUUCUGCUUUAAACUGUCGAGGCCUAAGGUAAUGGCUCAGGAAGAGGACCAAGCACAGAGCUCUAACCAACCCAAGCCAGGUUUUAUAAAGAACAAGUCAAGGUGGUGAGAAAAUUGCAUUCUCAUUAUCUCCCACUUCCUUAUACAUCAGAAAGACAAAAUUGGUUAUUUUAAUUGCAAUUUAGAAAUUUUUUAAAAAUUAUUUUAAAGUCAGUAACAAGCUUAAUUAUAAAGAUAUUCCUGAAGUUCCUACUGUGGUGCAGCAGAAACCAAUCUGGCUAGUGUCAGUGAGGAGGCAGGUUCGAUCCCUGGCCUCGCUCAGUGGGUUAGGGAUCUAGCAUUGCCGUGAGCUGUGGUGUAGGUCACAGACGCAGCUCCGAUCCCAUGUUGCUGUGGCUGUGGUGUAGGCCAGAAGCUCCAGCUCCAGUUCAACCACUACCCUGGGGAAUGUCCAUAUGCCACGGAUAUGGCCUUAAAAAAAAAAAAAAAAAAAAAAAAGAAGAAGAUUUUCUGCGAAGGGACUGGGAUUAACUCUAGUUUACCAACCCCUUUUUUUGUAGGGAGCCAGAAAUGGAAUCAUGUAGAAUAUCCACUCCAUUCCACCAUCAAAACCUUGCUUCUCUUUAUGAGGAAACAGAGGCCCACAGAGGGAAGAGCUCUGUCAUUUUCGGUAAAACACUUCAAGGCGGAGAUGCAUUCAGAGCAUCGCACAGGGCUGCCCAGAAGUGAAUUCCAUGUAGAUGCUUCAACAUGAAGUUACUAAAGAGGGAGUUGGAAAGAGGUGUCCUCAACUGGUCCCCAGCCAAGGUGAAAGGCAGGAAGGUGCAGUCUACAAAAUCCAAGAAAACUUAAGACCAAAAGCUGAAGUCCAGAGCAGUUGUGCUAAGGGUGGCCCAAGGAAUGACUCUAGAGGUCAUGACCCUGAAGAGGUGGAAGCAGAGAUUAGAAAGGACCCCUAGGAGUUCCCGUCGUGGCUCAGUGGUUAACGAAUCCAACUAGGAACCAUGAGGUUGCAGGUUCGAUCCCUGGGCUUGCUUGGUGGGUUAAGGAUCCGGCGUUGCCGUGAGCUGUGGUGUAGGUCGCAGACGCAGCUCGGAUCCCACAUUGCUGUGGCUCUGGUGUAGGCUGGCGGCUACAGCUCCAAUUAGACCCCUAGCCUGGGAACCUCCAUAUGCCGAGGGAGCAGCCCAAGAAAUGGGAAAAAAGACAAAAAGAAAAAAGGAAGAAAGAACCCCUAAAUCUAUGAGGGUGAGCAUAGAUGGAGGAUGGAGUUUAUGAUCCAGGUCCAGAAACCACAGAAGGAUGUGAGAUAUUGUGCUUGAGGCCAUCAGAUAUUGGAGUCAGGUCUCAAGUGAUUUAUGGGCUGUCGUUCAUCACCCCACUAUUGAGCCUCUUCUUUGGGCCUGAGACUGUGUGGAUUAUAAAGAUGCAUAAAGCAUUCCUGUCCAUUCAGUAGGGAAAUGAGGCCCCUACCAGUAAUGUGGCAUGUCAUGUGACUGGUACAGAUUAAAGGAUGAAGCUCUUAAUGAUAGACGCCACUUAUCAGAGCCCUUAGAAUGUGCAUAGCAUCGUGUUAGGUACUUUACCUCCAUUCUGUUGAAUCUUUAGAACAACCCAUUUUGUAGAUGAGAAAAUUGAGCCCAAGGUCACACAUUUGGCAAGUGGUAGAGCCAGACCUGGAACACAGGUCUUUCUAAUUCCAAAAAGUCUGUCCCCCAACCACUGUGCAUACUGCCCUCCUCUGCCCUUAAAGAUCCUACUCUGAUGGAGAUGAAGGCUGGUGUAAUAGGAGAUUUGGAGUUUCUUUUUAAAAAAUUACUCAGCUUGCAUAUUCCUAAAGAGUCAAUUCAUGUUAAGAAAUAAUUUCCCUUGUGCUCGCAUGUGACAUGUAUUUUUAGGAUCUGCUGUUAGCAAGUGUAUUUUUGUGUGAUUGAGUGGGAGAGUGGGGAAAGUUUUGCAGAGCUGUUUAAGCCAGAAUGCAGGGGGCACAGCGGAGACUGUGAAAUCUCUGCCAUCUAAGGUCUCAGAAAAGCCACAGAGAGACGUGUUCUCAAUUUAUUAUUCUAUGUACAUCCCCAGAUGAAUGACUAGCUAAAGGUAUUGUUAAAGCAUUUUAAAUGACCCACUUCCAGCAGUGAACAAAAUCACUUACUGCGCCAAGCCAACUAGCGUUUCUGAGAUUAUAAAGCCACAAAGUGAGGAAAACAUUAAAACUGCUAAAGGAAAAACGAUGCAUGAUAGUGGAGAAGGAGCAAAAUGGAGCUCUAUUGUCUGCCUAGGCAGAUGGCUGACCACUAGGUGGGCCCCGGUGUGAUGUCCAGGGUAAUUGGCUGCUGGGGUUUUUCUGGCAAGGACGAUUCCGACUUCAGCUUGGUACCAGGUCCUGGCUCGUUCUUCCCUAGACGCUCCUCUCUGCCUCCUCCCCACGACUAGAUCUGAGGGUUGAUCCAGGCAGGCAGUUGAAAACAGACAGUUACCUUUCCCUUAAAAUGCUUUUCUGGAAAUAAUGACGUGAAAAGUAAUUAAGGACCGGUUUUCCUACCCAUCAUUCUCUUCUGCACGUACAAUUAUCCACAGAUAUAAAAUUGCCUGCUUUGAUAAUUAUACCCUCCAAAUGAGGGGCAAGUGGCUAAUUAUGCCCACAUGUGGCCGAUUGCACUCUCCAUUAGCCAAUUAUGUGCACAAUUAUUUGUGCACAUAAAUAAUUGUACUCAUGGAAAAUAGCGGCCCUUCUUUGAAAUCCUCCUGCUUGGCGUGGCUGAUGGAGUAAUUGUUACACUGGAAAUGUACUUGGUGGGGAGUGAAAGAGUAUCAGAUACCAGGAAACGUGUGUUAAAUGACCAGAGCUCACAGAUGUGCACUACAGCAAAUGGCAUUGGGAGUCACAGGGAGCAGGAAGGAUCCCAGGAUGGAACAGGGCCAGCCUGUGAGUUAUGAAACCUGCUUCUGAGGCUGGUUUUCUGAGCUUCUCACAUGUCAUGACCUUGGGCAAGUCAUUAACCUGCCUACAGUUCUACUGGCUCUGCAUACACAAUGAGGAUGACCGUAAAGCCAAUUCCUAGCACCAUUGUAGGAUAGAGCAGACAGUCCAAAAGGAUUUGCAGUCUCUUUGGGGGUAAAUAUAAGUCUGAGGCAUUGUCAUGUCAAUCAGCACGUUUCCAAUUGCUAAGGAAAGAAGAGGGUCCUCCUUAGCAAAGCAGGAUCACUGGUUUGGAGCGGAGGUGGGGCUUAAUAAGGACAGGAAACAUUGCCUGGGCACUAUUGUUUCUGCUGAUGGGAUAACAGGAAGUGGCACAUGGUCAUAUUGAAUUCAUUGAUGGAUUGAUUGAUUCAUUCAUUCAACAAACACCUAUAGAACUCUUAUAGUGUUUGGGCAUUUAGAAACACCAUGCAGUUUGGGAUGGAAAUGCUGUAAAACUUGGUUGUGAUGAUUGUUGUACACCUAUAAAUGUAAUAACAUUCCUUAAGUAAUAAAAAAAUAAAAUGCAAAAAAAAAAAAAAGAAA
rnacentral:lncRNA from 1 species